rnacentral:rRNA from 1 species
UACAGAGGGGGCAAGCGUUGUUCGGAAUUACUGGGCGUAAAGGGCGCGUAGGCGGCCUUCUAAGUCGAACGUGAAAUCCCCGGGCUCAACCCGGGAACUGCGUCCGAUACUGGAAGGCUUGAAUCCGGGAGAGGGAUGCGGAAUUCCAGGUGUAGCGGUGAAAUGCGUAGAUAUCUGGAGGAACACCGGUGGCGAAGGCGGCAUCCUGGACCGACACUGACGCUGAGGCGCGAAAGCUAGGGUAGCAAACGGG